UAGGGAAUCUUCCACAAUGGACGCAAGUCUGAUGGAGCAACGCCGCGUGAGUGAAGAAGGUUUUCGGAUCGUAAAGCUCUGUUGUUGGUGAAGAAGGAUAGAGGCAGUAACUGGUCUUUAUUUGACGGUAAUCAACCAGAAAGUCACGGCUAACUACGUGCCAC
rnacentral:rRNA from 1 species